rnacentral:rRNA from 1 species
CCUACGGGGGGCUGCAGUGGGGAAUAUUGCACAAUGGGCGAAAGCCUGAUGCAGCAACGCCGCGUGAGUGAUGAAGGCCUUCGGGUUGUAAAGCUCUGUCUUCUGGGACGAUAAUGACGGUACCAGAGGAGGAAGCCACGGCUAACUACGUGCCAGCAGCCGCGGUAAUACGUAGGUGGCAAGCGUUGUCCGGAUUUACUGGGCGUAAAGGAUGCGUAGGCGGAUGCUUAAGUCAGAUGUGAAAAUCCCGGGCUUAACUUGGGAACUGCAUUUGAAACUGGGGAUCUAGAGUGCAGGAGAGGAAAGCGGAAUUCCUAGUGUAGCGGUGAAAUGCGUAGAGAUUAGGAAGAACACCAGUGGCGAAGGCGGCUUUCUGGACUGUAACUGACGCUGAGGCAUGAAAGCGUGGGGAGCAAACAGGAUUAGAUACCCCUGUAGUCAA